rnacentral:rRNA from 1 species
UACGUAGGGGUCCGAGCGUUGUCCGGAAUUAUUGGGCGUAAAGAGCUCGUAGGCGGUUUGUCGCGUCUGCUGUGAAAUCCCGAGGCUCAACCUCGGGUCUGCAGUGGGUACGGGCAGACUGGAGUGCGGUAGGGGAGAAUGGAAUUCCUGGUGUAGCGGUGGAAUGCGCAGAUAUCAGGAGGAACACCGAUGGCGAAGGCAGCGACCUGGUCCUUGACUGACGCUGAGGCGCGAAAGCGUGGGGAGCAAACAGG